GGGAAUGUAGCACAGUGGUAGAGUGCUUACCUAGAAUGCAUGAGGUCCUAGGUUCAAUUCCCAGCACCA
rnacentral:tRNA from 1 species